ACCUCUAGCCUGUGAACCUCCACAUGCCGUGGGAGCGGCCCUAGAAAUGGCAAAAAGACAAAAAACAAAACAAAACAAAAAAACAGGCGAGAAAACUCGCAAUAGAACAAACUCUUCCAGUUGAGGCUGGGAGAGUCAGGAAAGGGAAAAAGGAAGAGUAGAGGGAGCAGAGCGAGAGAGGGGGCAGGACGGAGAAAGGAGGAAACCGGCGGUGAGCAUGAGGAAGGACCUCGGGGACGCGGGCAGGUCGGGUGUCCCCCCCCCCCCCCGCCCCCGCCGGCUGUGCGCUGGGCCCCCUGUGGUCUUUGAAGUGUUGACACCCAGAGUGGUUUCUGGGCCCCUCACAGCCACCGCAGCUCCCCAACCCCUUGAGCUGCGGCCAAAUUCGUAUCCACCCAGACUUUAUCGAGCACUGAACUUGCCUGGGGCACGGAAUUCUGCCUGCGCGGAUGUGGACGGAGGCGGCCCCGAGCGGCCAGCGGGGCCAGACAUUCCGCUCUCGAGGCCCGUAGCUGAAGGAGACCCAGGUGGCCCUUCCUACCGGUGAGGAAACAGCUCCUCGGUUUAAGUCCGGACCAAGGCCUCAGACAGCAGGUGCAAGGACAAGAGCCGGGUCCGGGCCUUCUGACCAGGGUCAGGGACUUCAGCUGCUCCGUGUGAGGGGCAGACGGAUCGGACGGCGGCCCAGCCUGGCCCAGGGUCUGCAGACUCGCACCUCGAGACCCACAGGUGGCUUUUGGGUGUCUGCGUUCAGAGUGACAGUGUGCAAUCUUGGGUGUCUGCGUUCAGAGUGACAGUGCGCAAUCUUCUGGGAAGAGGACCUGGGGCUUCAAGACCUUCUCUUUGCUGCUUUGUCAGGUUCCCUCAAACCUUACGCACAUACAGGCAAUCUUCAGAAGAGCCUAGAUGUCAUCACAUCCUGACUCCUCCGUGAAGCCUGCUUGGUUUCCUCCCCGCCUGCUUCCCUCAGCCUCCCCUUCCACCACGCCAGCCCCAAGCCCUUCCCAAGCAACCCAGUGAACAGCCAGCUGUGCCCCCAUGUUUGCCCUCAUGUUUGCAUAAAUCAUAUGCAAACUCAUGGUGGCUGCAGAGACAGGAAGCGGCGGCCUGGCCAGCCCUGCGGGGAGCAGCGUCUUAUCACUGACAGGGUGAGAACUGCAGAUGCACGGUGAUAAUAAAAAGCAGACAAACUUCAGCCACUGACAAGGGGCUGCUUUAACGCUCUGCAGACAACGUACACAAUUACAGUCGCGUGCGGGACAAGCUGCACCAUCGCCCACCUUGAUGUAGCCCUGGAAACACACAGGAGCAGACAGUCUGUCGUCCCACGUGUGUAAAACCACCGCUCACCCCUGCCUCAUCUUGACAUGGUUCUACUUCCCACCUCUGCUGCGCCUGGAACCAGACGUGCUACAGACAGGCCACGACUCUCAACCAUCUCCCUGCAGACGGCUCCCGAUGCCUGUGGCUUCGAUCGCGUCUGCGUUCUGGAAGACCUCUUCCCUCACCCCGUUUCCCAGAGCAGCCCCCACUCCCCACCGAGCGGGUCUUUGCUCGGAGGAACACAGACCCCUGGCGGCUGGCUGCUCCCCGCACCUCCAGCCAGGAUCGCAGGCCCCUUGGGAGCCCGCUUACCUCCGAGUGGGAGGCCUGAGCUGGAACACAGAGCCUGCAGGUCUCUUUCAGCCAAUGCCCCCAACACCUUUCUCCACCUUUUGUUCAUAAAACAGUGAGCUUCAGAAGGAAGCGGCUCAGGAGGAGUGGGGGCUCCAGGCAGAGAAAGGGGACCCGUUCCUCCCGACACCUAAGUGAACCAACUGGAAAUAUCCCCCCCCACACCCCCUCUUCCGUGGGUCCCCACCCCACCCCAAGAAGGCGCCACCUCGCUGAGGUUGCCCUGACAGCAAAGGCCAAACAUCCCUUUGAAAACACCUGGUCUGGAAACUUGAGAAGAGGCUCCUGCCACCGUCUGCCACCCACCCUCGCCUCCUCCCGACCCUGCCAAGCCUGUGGGACAGAGUGGCCCCGACGCGUCUCUCCAGACACUGAGACACGGCGGCCUGGACGGGAGAGCCAGAGCCAGGGCCUGUCUCAGGCGGCUGUGCACCUGCAGGGCCCAUGGGCCCUUCCUCCGCCACGGGGGCCUCCCUUGCGGGUUCCUCCCUCCCCCUCCCGUCUUCCCCUCGCAGCCCAUGUGGCUCGACCCCAGGCUGUUCCAUGAAGGCCGCGGGGCAGAGGCUGCUCCCGGCACAGGCUCAACACAGGCAGGCUCUUUAGGAGGCGGAAGGUGGGCGCUCCGGUCCCGCCCGUCCCGUCUGGCAUGAGGGCCACCUGUGCGUCCACCUGCUCCUCGAGGCGCGUGGGUGAGCCUGGUCCUCACCCGCGGGCACCUCUGAUCUGAGCUGCUGCGCGAAGUGGCAACAGGGCUUAUACCCGCCCGGGGCCCAGGGAACCAGACAGGUUUUUCCUUUCCUGUAACUCACGGUAAUCACUGACCGUCGUAAUUUCCUCCAACGCGCUGCAAUCAAGGCAGACACGCACAACACCAGAGGAGAGCUUAAGCUGGCACGUGAGGCCAGGGACCUUGCGGGGCUGAGGGACGGGGUUGCUGCCUCUCCAUGACCUGGGUCCGCCUCUGGCGCCGGCCUCCGGCCAGAGGAGCAGCGCCCCCACUGGGCAGAGCAAGGGCGGGAGGCACGUGCUCCUCCAUCCAUCCUGGGCUCCAGCCACUUCCUGGGCCGCGCUGGCGUGUGGCUUAUCUUGAGCCCAGGCUUCUCUCGGGCCAAUGGCUUGAGUGGACCAGGUCCCCAAGGGAAGCGGUGGCCUGGGGAGCCUCAGGAGGGCUGUGAGGCCCAGGGGGGAGGAAAGCCUCAGGUCACAGCAGAGGAGGAGGAGAGAGUGAUUCCAGGGCAAGCUCCAUGGGACGGUGCCCAGGAGGCGCCAAGGCCAUGAACAACCAGGCUCGUGGCUUCCGGCAGCCUGGACCUGACUCAGACGUUCUUCAGGGCAAGUCGCCCACAGGAAACGUGCUUCCUCGUCCACUCGGUCCAUCUGUGUAAGAUCGCCUGCCCUCCUGCUUCCCUUUCACUCCCGGGCGUCUCUCCACGCAAGCGACAGAAUGGGAAGUGAAAGCGAGGGACCAGGCGCGGGUGGGGCUUCCUGCCUGUGAUCUGAGCAACCCUGGGUGGACCCUGCCUGCCCAGGACAGAUCCCCUCUCUUUCAUCACAGUCAAACCCACCACCACGGGUGGAAACGUCACCACGCGGCCUGGAACCUCAAACACGGCUGACAUCCAGCUCCCACCACGAGACAGCGAACGCAGCCACUCGACUUAGAAAUAAGGCGGCCUGGGAGCUCCCGUCGUGGCUCAGUGAGGCUUGGGGGCUGAGCUGGAGUCUCGGUUCUCCACGGACGCGGGCUGCCCCCAACCCAGGGUGUGGCCGGAAAGGCAGCUGGGAGUGACGCAUCACGGCCAGGGGAGCAUCUGACCACAGCUUUCAGAUGUGAGACGAGGAGCUGAGCUCUCGGCCCCGUGGAGUUUCCCUCGUGGCUUCAGCGGGCAGCGUUCCAGGUCCCCGACCAUCCUCUGUGCCCGUGUGUGCUGCAAGCCCCUGGUGGCUGUUUCCAUCGUCCCAUGAGCCCAUGGGGCUCCUGCCCUGGACACAGUGAUGGGCCUGCAGCCCCUCCAAGCUCCUCUGUCCCUUCCCACCUGCACUGACGGCCAGGCCUGUUUUUCUGUGAUGGGGGGCUCGCCCCUUUCAGCCCUAAGGGCCCCUUGGCUUCCAAACCUGGAUUCAGAGACCAGCCCAGGUCACAGGUCACAGGCUGCAAGGCUUCGAGUCCUGAACAGUUUCUAUGAACAAAACAAACCAGGCGACAGCCCUGGCAGGUGUCGGUCCCUCAGUGCCCCUGCCCUGUAGGUGCCCAGGUUCCGCAGCGGGGCUCCUGCCUCCUCCAAGGGACCCUUCUCCCACAGGGUGUCGGGGGGCAUCUGGGGAGACCCGUGCACGACGGUGCCAGGCAGGCCUCGUGGGGGCCCUGCGCGUCCUCCUGCUCCACCAACUUCCCACCGCAUUCCCUGGUUCAGAAGUUGCCUCGUCAACACCAUGGCAGGAUCUGAGCUCCCCACAGCAGCUCUCAGACUCUGGCCCCUCCGUCCUACCCCCAUCCCCUUCCCCAGAUGCCUUGGACAAGAGGACACGCUGCCUGUUCAGCAGUCCCCCCAUUUCAUUGGCAGGAAGGAGGUUCCCAUUCAGAAAGCAGGACUUUUCACCUCCUCCUUAAAUCCAAGAUAAUCUAGGACCUGGGCUGUAGGUAUAGCUUUCUGGCACCCUGGUCAUUUUGGUCAAACAAAAUGCCCCAGCCUGUGUCCUGACCUGCACACCCUACCUGCUGAUGGGUGCAGAAAGCCCCCAGCUGUCCUGGGUGCAAAAGCAGGCUCUCCCUUCCCCACCGUGAGGCUGUGUCCGGUGAGACCCUCCCCUGCAGACACGGGCACACUGGGCACGUGCUGAGAUGCUAGGAGAACCAACUGGAUCCGGAACAUUCUCCCGCCCCGCCCUCUCACCCACGAUUUCUCCAGCCUCACACCCUGGCUGCCCCCACGGCCUCCCCUGCCUGUUACUGGUGCAUGUCCACCCUCUGCACCUCCCCUGCUCCCCGUUUCUACCAGAACAGAACCCAAAUCUCUGUGCCAGGCCUGUGACCCUCUAUUGCCGCAGAAUAAGAAUUAGUGACUUAAAAUGAUAACAGGCAUCGACUGGCCUCACAGAUUCAAUGCGUCAGAAUUUGGGGUCUCGGCAUGUCUCACCUGAAGACUUGCCUGGAGCCAGCAGCCCCCCAUGCCGCCCUUCACGUGGCUGGGGGCUGGUGCUGGCUAUUGGUGGUUCCCACGGCACAAGCCUCUCCCAGGCAACUAGCCCGUCCUUGGACAAUGGCAGCUGGCUUCCCCCAGAGCAAGGGUCCCCAAGGACAACACCCCUGCCUCUGACCCUAGCCCCGGAGAGCGCACAGCAUGCAGCACCCACAUCCCGCUGACCCUGCCAGACCUCGGCGUCCAGGGAAGAGGUACUGGGUGCUACCUCAGGAGAGAGUGCAGCUGUUUGCUCACCUCCACACUGGCAUCCGAGGCCCCCCAGCCCAUCCCACCGCCUGAGGAGAUGCACAAGCGACGCCUACAUGUUAAAGUCUCACUCCCUGCAGGGGAGAAACCUGUGUGAUUUUGUUCACACGAGCACAGGGACUUAUAGCGGCACCGAGGGCCAGCAUGGCGUGAGCAGGAAUUGAGGGAGCAGGUGGCCAGCUGGCCAGGGCCACGUCCCAGGCUGCACGUGAAAGGCCUCUCCCCCAGGGCUGGUCAAGUGGAUGGUACCUUGACAGAUGCGCCUGUCUCUGCAAACACUGAGCCCCAGCCCCCUGACAGUUUCCCAGGUUUCCCUUUACACAAAGCCCCCUUCUGCGGAGAAAACUCUGACCCCCAUUUUAUAUACAGACAUUGCAUGCAGCUGCCGUGAACGAGCAGGGAGCACCCACCACAGGCCUCCCACCCCUCCUCUCUGCCGUUUGAAUCCUUCGUGGUCCAGGUUCCCUGGAGGACACGGCCGCAUUUGGGGGAGGCUGUGAAACAGCUCAGAGAAUCACGCAGCAGCUCAGUCUGGCACCGUCGUGCAGAGGGGCGGCCAAGCCUGCUGGCCCCUCUGCUCACUGAGCUCGUUUCCAGUCUGUGCAUCCCCAGUUUCUCUUUGCCACUCCUCCAGCAUCACCUGGUGACCUUCUGAUGCUUUGGGUCAUUGCUCAUCAGACCCAGCCUUUUUUUCAGAUGGCACUCCAUUCUGUGCAGGCCUUGUCAGUGCCUUUAUUAUUGAUCUGCAUUGACAUUCUUCCAGCCCACCUCCACCCGUGCCAGGGAUGGCUGUGCCACCUGGAAUCUGACCCACCUGAGGCAUAGUGGGUGGUGGGAUUAGAGGCUGGUGAAAGAGAAAAGGUCUCUGAGGAAGGACAGCUGGGGCUGUGGGGGGCUCUCCAGCCAGUACCUGCCCCUGUUAGCACGGAAGCCCCCAGCCAGGGCCCAGUGUGAGCUGGGGGCAGCAUUCCACUGUGUUUGCCCUUCUUGGGCUUUUCUCAGGCUUGGCGCCUCCUUUUCUCAUGUUUAGUCAACAAUCUUCCACUCCCAUCACAACUUGCCCCGUGUUUGCCCACCAGGGCUGCCUGUCAGCUGCAGGAGCCCACAGAGCUGGUGCCCCGGGGCGCCCAGCGGCCCCCACACUCCUCACCCGCCUGUCAUUUGCUUCUGACACCGGGGUCUGAAGUCUGGUCCAGGUGCCGUGGGUCCAGCUCCACGGCAACUCCACGGGAUCCCCAGGCUAAUGAGAGCGCUGAGUGGCAACCGGGGGACAGGGAGGGAGCGCUGCCGUGGAGACAGCCCAAGGCCAGCAGUUACCACGGCGCUGGCAGAUCCCAGCUCAGCCUCGAGGUCCUGUCAGCUGGAAACAUCCUGCUCCCUGAACUGUCCGCACGGAAACUCUGCAGCCAAAUGCUCUGCCCUGAAUGCAGCCCCCACAGCCUCACAUGGAAGCUCUGAACUCAGCCCUGGCUGGUGUCGUGGCCAAAAGGCCCCCAGGGCGGUCCCUCUGUCCGUCCGUCCAACCCCAGGGACGGGACCCUGAACUCAGAAGGCCCCAUGGAGCUUCAGGGAGGGGGCGACAAGGGCAGCCUGGGCCCUGGACAGCAGGGUGGUGCAUCCACCCCCUACACACCACGUCCAUGCCCCCAACCCGCCUCCCCGCAGACCCCAGCACCGAGAGACCCGCGGCCGCCCCUCAGACCAGGCUGCCCCCUCGCCCGGGCCCCAGUGCCCCUGAAGACGGCACCCCUGUGUCAGCGUCCAGGCCCUCCCCGCCAAAGAUACCUUCACACAGGAGUGCGGGGACACAAGGAGGCGAAAGGGGCCACGUGAGGAAAGCCCACGGAGCGCCCACCCUCUUGGCUCCCUGAGGAGCCCAGAGAGGCCAAGCAACUGGUCCAAAGUUGAACAGCCCUGAGUGGCAGCCUUGAUGUGAGCUGAGAACCAGGCUUUCCGACUCGCUCUCCCCGGGGAAGGCAUUAGGAGGCCAGAUUCUGCCUCAAAAGGGUGAAUCGGAGGGUGGCCACCCCACUAGCGCAUGGGCCCCUGCCAGCCGUCCCGGCCACCCCACCUCCACGUGGGCAGGUUCUCCCAGACGUACCAGGACAGGCGCCAGCAGCAUCCGACCUCCCAGCGCCGCCCAGAUCCCGCUGAGAAUCAGGGAGCUGGGCUCAGCAGGCACCACCUGGUACACAGCCUCCAGGCUCCUCUGCAGCCGGCGGGGCCGUGUCCAGCGAUCGCUGUCACGGGUGGGGCGUGGGGGCCAUGCCAGGCCUGCUCACCCUUGAACUGCCUGCAAGCUCACAGCACAGCUCAUGAGCCGGGGGAGAACGGACUUUCCAGAGCUGAAAAGACUUUCUCCAUCACUGUCCCACGUUGCGGUGUUUCACGUCACCACACAAAUGCUGGACAGGGACUCGGUCCAGGAUCACCCAGCCCUGAACAAGACUCAGAAAAGCUCACAGAAAACGCAGUCCCUUGAGUCUGCCUGAACCACCCAGGCUCCUAUAAAACACACCAGGCUCCUUGCUGGAUUCAAAUCCCAGCAGCUCAGAUUCAAACCGCACCUGACCCAGGCCCAGGCCCAGAAGGCCAGCUUCGCCUCCAACUCCCAACCCGCAAGGGCCUGGGGGAGGCUGACAGGAGGGCAGACGGAGGCACGCCCCACACACGCUCUUGGUGAGGAAGGCCGUCUCUGCCCUCCUCGCCCAUCCCUCGUUUCUCUGGGAGAAGAGCGUAGAAACGUCUAGAGAUGAAUCCUCCAGGCUUUCGGUUUUGCAGGAGGCGUUGCUUUGAGAGGAAACACUUCUCUUUCAUGCCCUCUUCCUCCCCACCCCCACCCCUGUCCUCCCAGGAAUCACAAUGCAGAAGAAAUGCACAAUGGAAUACUACUCAGCCAUAAAAAAGAACGACAUAAUGCCAUUUGCAGCAACAUGGAUGGAACCAGAGACUCUCAUCCUGAGUGAAGUGAGUCAGAAAGAGA